rnacentral:rRNA from 1 species
UACAGAGGGGGCAAGCGUUUGUUCGGGAAUUACUGGGCGUAAAGGGCUCGUAGGCGGCCAACUAAGUCAGACGUGAAAUCCCUCAGCUUAACUGGGGAACUGCGUCUGGAUACUGGAUGGCUUGGAUUUGGGAGAGGGAUGCGGAAUUCCAGGUGUAGCGGUGAAAUGCGUAGAUAUCUGGAGGAACACCGGUGGCGAAGGCGGCAUCCUGGACCAAUAUUGACGCUGAGGAGCGAAAGCCAGGGGAGCAAAGCGGG